GAAGCACAAUGGAUAACGCGACUGACUACAGAUCAGGAGAUUGCAGGUUCGACUCCUGCC
rnacentral:tRNA from 1 species